rnacentral:rRNA from 1 species
UACGUAGGGGGCGAGCGUUGUCCGGAGUUACUGGGCGUAAAGGGCGUGCAGGCGGUGCGGUAAGUUUAGCGUGACAGUCUCCGGCUUAACUGGAGAAGGCCGCUGAAAACUGCUGGACUUGAGGGCCAGAGAGGGACAUAGAAUUCCGGGUGGAGUGGUGAAAUGCGUAGAUAUCCGGAGGAAUACCAAAGGCGAAGGCAGUGUCCUGGCUGGCAACUGACGCUGAGGCGCGAAAGCUGGGGGAGCGAACGGG